rnacentral:rRNA from 1 species
GCUAUAGAUGUAAAGACAGUAAUGUCAAAGUCGAGUAGUACUAAUAACCCGUAAGCUUAUGU